ACACGUAAGUAACCUGCCUUUAAGACGAGGAUAACAACCGGAAGGUUACUAAGACUGGAUAGGAAACAAAAAGGCAUCUUUUUGUUUUUAAAAGACCUUCUUACGAAGGUAUGCUUAAAGAGGGGCUUGCGCCACAUUAGUUAGUUGGUAGAGUAAAAGCCUACCAAGACGAUGAUGUGUAGCUGGACUGAGAGGUUGAACAGCCACAUUGGGACUGAGACACGGCCCAAACUCCUACGGGAGGCAGCAGUAGGGAAUUUUCGGCAAUGGAGGAAACUCUGACCGAGCAACGCCGCGUGAACGAUGAAGUAUUUCGGUAUGUAAAGUUCUUUUAUUGAAGAAGAAAAAGUAGUGGAAAAACUAUAUUGACGUUAUUCAAUGAAUAAGCCCCGGCUAACUAUGUGCCAGCAGCCGCGGUAAGACAUAGGGGGCGAGCGUUAUCCGGAAUUAUUGGGCGUAAAGGGUGCGUAGGCUGUUAGAUAAGUCUAUAAUUUAAUUUCAGUGCUUAACGCUGUCUUGUUAUAGAAACUGUCUUGACUAGAGUGAGAUAGAGGCAAGCGGAAUUCCAUGUGUAGCGGUAAAAUGUGUAAAUAUAUGGAGGAACACCAGAAGCGUAGGCGGCUUGCUGGGUCUUUACUGACGCUGAGGCACGAAAGCGUGGGUAGCAAACAGGAUUAGAUACCCUGGUAGUCCACGCCGUAAACGAUGAGUACUAAGUGUCGGGGUAAAACUCGGUACUGAAGUUAACACAUUAAGUACUCCGCCUGAGUAGUACGUACGCAAGUAUGAAACUUAAAGGAAUUGACGGGACUCCGCACAAGCGGUGGAUCAUGUUGUUUAAUUCGAAGAUACACGAAAAAUCUUACCAGGUCUUGACAUACUCUGCAAAGCUAUAGAAAUAUAGUGGAGGUUAUCAGGGAUACAGGUGGUGCAUGGUUGUCGUCAGUUCGUGUCGUGAGAUGUUAGGUUAAGUCCUAAAACGAACGCAACCCUUGUCGUUAAUUGCCAGCACAUAAUGGUGGGGACUUUAACGAGACUGCCAAUUAAACAUUGGAGGAAGGUGAGGAUUACGUCAAAUCAUCAUGCCCCUUAUGAUCUGGGCUACAAACGUGAUACAAUGGCUGUGACAAAGAGUAGCUGAAACGCGAGUUUUUAGCCAAUCUCAAAAAAGCAGUCUCAGUUCGGAUUGAAGUCUGUAACUCGACUUCAUGAAGUUGGAAUCGCUAGUAAUCGCGAAUCAGCAUGUCGCGGUGAAUACGUUCUCGGGGUUUGUACACACCGCCCGUCAAACCACGAAAGUUAGCAAUGCCCGAAAGCAGUAGCUUAA
rnacentral:rRNA from 1 species